AAAUUAUCUUACUAUGAUGUCCAUCUUCUCCUCUCUCUAUUUCUCAUCUUAGAUGGCAACAGUUUGCAUUUCACUGCUGGAAGUCUCCAGAUGAGAUGAGUGAUAAAAAGUGAGCUCCUUAUGUUCAGCCAGACAAAUUGUCAUUCCUAUUGAGUACUCAUGCUUGAGCUACAGAAGGCAUUUGACACUGCUGGACUUUAAAGCUCUUUUUGAGGAGUAUCACAACCUGGCCUUGAGAGAUCUGCAGUUUUGGAGUGUUUCAGAUUUUUAA
rnacentral:lncRNA from 1 species